UGCUCAAUGGUCUAGUAGUAUGAUUCCUGCUUAGGGUGCAGGAGGUCCCGGGUUCAAUUCCCGGUUGAGCCC
rnacentral:tRNA from 1 species